AAGCCUAGGAGGUUGUCUACAGCCACUGCCCUGUGAGUGCUGCUGAACAUGUAAGUAUAGUCGGGAGAGUCAUGUACUCGCUCGAUGCCAUAGCUCACCCACCCCGAGUUGUGCCACCCUCUUCUAGCCGGAGGUGCCGCCGUCGCCGCUGUCGAGGACAUCUUAAUAUUAAACAAUAAGUAUUAUAUUCAUCAAGAGAGUUUCCUCGCUAUGUGGUGUUCACAUUUGUUCUCUCCAAGAUCAUGUAGCGGUGUGAUUAUUUUUUGCAGUUUCCCUAAUUACCCUUUUCUCUUAUUCUAGCUUCUAUAUUGUUGUGUUCACAACACUGGAGGGAUCUUACUGAAGGAAGAUUUAAUAAUAGCCCCAAGAGAAGUGCAGAAAUGGGUGUUGUGUUCCAUGAACACUUGAAAUAAUUCAGUUCUGGUUUCUAUCAAUAUAUUGUUUGUACUGCAUAUAUAUUAUUUUUAGCUACGCAAUUUCCUUCGACAGGCAAAGACUUGUCUAUUAGUAUCUUUUGUAUUUGAUGGAAUGUUGUAACGAGACAAAACCUUCGAGGCAAGAAACAGGGAACAACAAGCUUGAUAGUAUUGUACA